rnacentral:rRNA from 1 species
GAUGAACGCUGGCGGCGUGCCUAAUACAUGCAAGUCGAGCGAACGGACGAGAAGCUUGCUUCUCUGAUGUUAGCGGCGGACGGGUGAGUAACACGUGGAUAACCUACCUAUAAGACUGGGAUAACUUCGGGAAACCGGAGCUAAUACCGGAUAAUAUUUUGAACCGCAUGGUUCAAAAGUGAAAGACGGUCUUGCUGUCACUUAUAGAUGGAUCCGCGCUGCAUUAGCUAGUUGGUAAGGUAACGGCUUACCAAGGCAACGAUGCAUAGCCGACCUGAGAGGGUGAUCGGCCACACUGGAACUGAGACACGGUCCAGACUCCUACGGGAGGCAGCAGUAGGGAAUCUUCCGCAAUGGGCGAAAGCCUGACGGAGCAACGCCGCGUGAGUGAUGAAGGUCUUCGGAUCGUAAAACUCUGUUAUUAGGGAAGAACAUAUGUGUAAGUAACUGUGCACAUCUUGACGGUACCUAAUCAGAAAGCCACGGCUAACUACGUGCCAGCAGCCGCGGUAAUACGUAGGUGGCAAGCGUUAUCCGGAAUUAUUGGGCGUAAAGCGCGCGUAGCGGUUUUUUAAGUCUGAUGUGAAAGCCCACGGCUCAACCGUGGAGGGUCAUUGGAAACUGGAAAACUUGAGUGCAGAAGAGGAAAGUGGAAUUCCAUGUGUAGCGGUGAAAUGCGCAGAGAUAUGGAGGAACACCAGUGGCGAAGGCGACUUUCUGGUCUGUAACUGACGCUGAUGUGCGAAAGCGUGGGGAUCAAACAGGAUUAGAUACCCUGGUAGUCCACGCCGUAAACGAUGAGUGCUAAGUGUUAGGGGGUUUCCGCCCCUUAGUGCUGCAGCUAACGCAUUAAGCACUCCGCCUGGGGAGUACGACCGCAAGGUUGAAACUCAAAGGAAUUGACGGGGACCCGCACAAGCGGUGGAGCAUGUGGUUUAAUUCGAAGCAACGCGAAGAACCUUACCAAAUCUUGACAUCCUUUGACAACUCUAGAGAUAGAGCCUUCCCCUUCGGGGGACAAAGUGACAGGUGGUGCAUGGUUGUCGUCAGCUCGUGUCGUGAGAUGUUGGGUUAAGUCCCGCAACGAGCGCAACCCUUAAGCUUAGUUGCCAUCAUUAAGUUGGGCACUCUAAGUUGACUGCCGGUGACAAACCGGAGGAAGGUGGGGAUGACGUCAAAUCAUCAUGCCCCUUAUGAUUUGGGCUACACACGUGCUACAAUGGACAAUACAGAGGGCAGCGAAACCGCGAGGUCAAGCAAAUCCCAUAAAGUUGUUCUCAGUUCGGAUUGUAGUCUGCAACUCGACUACAUGAAGCUGGAAUCGCUAGUAAUCGUAGAUCAGCAUGCUACGGUGAAUACGUUCCCGGGUCU